rnacentral:lncRNA from 1 species
CUUUUUUAUUAUUAAAGACACUGGGUUAACUGAGGAUAGAUUUAAUGCCUGCCAGUAAUUUUAUUGGAUAAUCAGCAGCCCAGGGUCCCCACCGCAGUUGAAGCUCAGGAACCCUCCUCUGGGGCCACUGGAUUCUUUGGAGGAAACCCAGGGCUGGGAAGUUGCACACGUGGGCACUUUCUUGGGAUUUCCUCCUGGCCCUCGAGGUGUGCAGGCAGGACAUUCCCCUUCUGCUGCCUGUGCUCAGAUCCUGAGUGGCGCAUGUGAGACACGGUCUUACUUGGGUGUCCACUGCCAAGGAAGCCUUGAUGACGUCUCCAUCAUUGUGAGCCAGAGAAAUUGCCCCAUUCCUCUGUCGUCUGACAUUCAUUUGAUAAGAGAUUUCAGGGAGAGGUCACUGUGA